CAAUGAAGGAAGCAUGGUAAUGUGCACAUAAAUUGAUUUGAGUCUCUAGGUCUGCCCUCUCUGAUGUCAUUUGGCUUUGAUUUGGGGGCAUGGUUUUAUAACAAAAUU